UCUAAUGUGGCAGAAACCAAAUGCAAUGAAUUUAAGACUCAAAUAUAAAUAAUAAAUAUUUCCUUAGAA
rnacentral:tRNA from 1 species